UACCCGCGGCAAGACGGAAAGACCCCGUGAACCUUUACUAUAGCUUGACACUGAACAUUGAGCCUUGAUGUGUAGGAUAGGUGGGAGGCUUUGAAGCGUGGACGCCAGUCUGCGUGGAGCCGACCUUGAAAUACCACCCUUUAAUGUUUGAUGUUCUAACGUGGAUCCGUAAUCCGGGUUGCGGACAGUGUCUGGUGGGUAGUUUGACUGGGGCGGUCUCCUCCUAAAGAGUAACGGAGGAGCACGAAGGUUGGCUAAUCCUGGUCGGACAUCAGGAGGUUAGUGCAAUGGCAUAAGCCAGCUUGACUGCGAGCGUGACGGCGCGAGCAGGUGCGAAAGCAGGUCAUAGUGAUCCGGUGGUUCUGAAUGGAAGGGCCAUCGCUCAACGGAUAAAAGGUACUCCGGGGAUAACAGGCUGAUACCGCCCAAGAGUUCAUAUCGACGGCGGUGUUUGGCACCUCGAUGUCGGCUCAUCACAUCCUGGGGCUGAAGUAGGUCCCAAGGGUAUGGCUGUUCGCCAUUUAAAGUGGUACGCGAGCUGGGUUUAGAACGUCGUGAGACAGUUCGGUCCCUAUCUGCCGUGGGCGCUGGAGAACUGAGGGGGGCUGCUCCUAGUACGAGAGGACCGGAGUGGACGCAUCACUGGUGUUCGGGUUGUCAUGCCAAUGGCACUGCCCGGUAGCUAAAUGCGGAAGAGAUAAGUGCUGAAAGCAUCUAAGCACGAAACUUGCCCCGA
rnacentral:rRNA from 2 species